rnacentral:rRNA from 1 species
UACGUAGGGUCCGAGCGUUUGUCCGGAAUUACUGGGCGUAAAGAGCUCGUAGGUGGUUUGUCGCGUUGUUCGUGAAAACUCACAGCUCAACUGUGGGCGUGCGGGCGAUACGGGCAGACUAGAGUACUGCAGGGGAGACUGGAAUUCCUGGUGUAGCGGUGGAAUGCGCAGAUAUCAGGAGGAACACCGGUGGCGAAGGCGGGUCUCUGGGGCAGUAACUGACGCUGGAGGAGCGAAAGCGUGGGGAGCGAACAGG